CGCGUUGUUUCUGUCUAAGAUCUGAUGAUGUUAUUUCUUCCUACAUCUCUUUGUACAACAUUGGGUUAAGUGUGCUCAGCAGCAAAGGGCACCACGUCAUCUAGAAAGAUGCAUUCCGACAGGUGGAAACCUAAUAGCACAGGAGGAUUUUUCCUACCCCAGUGCCCUUCAUCUUGGGAGGAUGACAUCACCAGAUACUGUUAACAAAGACACUGGUGUCCCUAACUUAGCUGCUUCAGCUGCCCGAGACUUGGCUGACUGACUCCAGGGACAGACAACUCCGAAGUCCUGUAUGUUCUUCCUGCCACAUGCCCCUAAGGCCGUGGGUUGCAUUUUGUGAUCUUUCUUUCCCCUAAAAGGUAGCUGUACACUGUCUUCCUUUAAACCACAGUUAAAAAAAUUGUGACAUGUGGGAGGAAGUGUGUACAGUGACAGGCCUUACCCCUCCCCCAGUUCCUGAUCCCAGGGACCACAGAUACGGCUUCAGUUCUCACUGAGGAAUUAAGGCCUCCAAAGAAAUUCUAAUUUGCAGUGCCUUUGGCUUGGCUCUUGACUUAAGAAUCCCUAUCUUUGGGACAGGCUUACCUGUUAGGUCCUUUCCCCAUUACACUAUUGGAGUGGCUCUUAUGAGCUCUAAAUUAUGGCCACCAAGUCUGAGAUUAAGUCAAUUUCCCAGAGACUGGAAUGGCAUACAGUAAAGUUUUACUAUUGGCUUCAGAACUGGCUCUUUUUACAUGUAUCUCAGUGACCGUCAAGGGAGAGAGGGUGAGCGUGUGUGUAUGCGUGAGUAUGUCUAAGGGGGAGGUUGACAUUAUAUUCAAUAUAAUACUUUUUGUGUGGUUAAAAAACAAACCUUUUGAUUUCCUUUCGCAAACCCUAGAAAGUAAAAUUUGACCAAAAUCUUCCUGGCCAUUAGGGAUACGCAAAGGUCUCUUCCUUAAUGUGGAGGACAUUCAGAAUGUGGACAGUGAGAUGUUUAUGGUCUAAUUAUUUAUCAGACAGACCAGAGGCUAUAGGCUCAGUCUCCACUGGUCACAGGUUGCUGCUUUAACUCAGUCAUGCUUUGUGUUUCACAUAGUCUUGCAAUGGAAUUAUUCUCAAUGCUGGGUCAUCUGGAACUCAAUAUUUCUCACCAAUAGCCACCACUUUUCUGCUAUAUUGAACAACACAGUCUAUGGCCUGAAUGGCUGUGCUCCCUACCAAAUGUAUAUGUUGAAAUCCUAACCUUCAAAGGCAAAGUUAGUAGGUGGGGCCUUGGGAGGUGAUUAGUUUGUGGGGAUGGGGCCCUUCUGAAUAGGACUAUUGCUCUUAGAAAAGCACAAAGGGGAGUUCCUGCUGUGGUGCAACAGGACCAGUGGCAUCUCUGCAGCACCAGGAUGCAGGCUUGAUGCCUGGCCCGGCACAGCGAGUUAAAGGAUCUGGCACUGCCACAGCUGCAGGGUAGGUCACAAUUUCGGCUUACAUCUGACUGCUGGCCUGGGAACUCCAUAUGCUGUGUGGUAGCAAAAAAUGAAAAAAAGGAGUUCCCAUGGUGGCUCAGCAGUAACAAACCUGACUAGUAUGCAUGAGGACACAGGUUUGAUCUCUGGCCUUGCUCAAUGGGUUAAGGAUCUGGCAUUGCCAUGAGCUGUGGUGUAUGUCGCAGACGUGGCUUGGAUAUGGCGUUUCUGUGGUUGUGGUAUAGGCCGACGGCUACAGCUCUGAUUCAACCACUAGCCUCGGAAACUCCACAUACUGCAGAUGUGGCCUAAAACACACACACACACACACACACACACACAAAGACAGUGAAGGAAAUACUGUCCUGCACAUUUUUUUUUUUUUUUUUUUUUUUGGCUGUGCCUGUGGCAUGUGGAAGUUCCCGGGCCAAGGACUGAACCUGUUCCACAGCAGUGAUAAUGCUGGAUCUUAACCUGCUAUGCCACAGGAAACUCCCAGUCCUGUACACUCUAGAUGCUAUAAGAACAGCAAAGGAAGAACUGGUUGUCAGAGGAGCAACUAUGAGCAUUCAGCACAGUCUUUGCAGUAGGGCUGUUCACAAGGAAAACAUGAGAUGCUGGAGUUCUGCUCCUUUUAACUCCACCCUCUCCCCCCAGCCCCCACCAAGGUGUCCAAAGGUGAGCAGCAUGAAGAGGGGCAUACAAAUGCACAGGUAAUCCGUCUGCGUUUUCCACAGCUCGCAGUAGUAAAGAUCUAUGACGAAAUUAUCUCACUCUCACAGGAACCCAAGCGCAGUCGCCCCUCUGC
rnacentral:lncRNA from 1 species